rnacentral:misc_RNA from 1 species
UCUCCGUUGGUGAACCAGCGGAGGGAUCAUUACCGAGUUUACAACUCCCAAACCCCUAUGUGAACGUUGCCACACUGUUGCCUCGGCGGGAAAUUCAUGCCCCGGGCGCGUCGCAGCCCCGGACCAAGGCGCCCGCCGGAGGACCAACCAAAACUCUUUUGUAUGUCCCUCGCGGACUUUUAUAAUUCUGAACCAUCUCGGCGCCCCUAGCGGGCGUUUCGAAAAUGAAUCAAAACUUUCAACAACGGAUCUCUUGGUUCUG